UGCAAGUCGAGCGAACAGAUAAGGAGCUUGCUCCUUUGACGUUAGCGGCGGACGGGUGAGUAACACGUGGAUAACCUACCUAUAAGACUGGGAUAACUUCGGGAAACCGGAGCUAAUACCGGAUAAGAUUUUGAACCGCAUGGUUCAAUAGUGAAAGACGGCCUUGCUGUCACUUAUAGAUGGAUCCGCGCCGUAUUAGCUAGUUGGUAAGGUAACGGCUUACCAAGGCAACGAUACGUAGCCGACCUGAGAGGGUGAUCGGCCACACUGGAACUGAGACACGGUCCAGACUCCUACGGGAGGCAGCAGUAGGGAAUCUUCCGCAAUGGGCGAAAGCCUGACGGAGCAACGCCGCGUGAGUGAUGAAGGUCUUCGGAUCGUAAAACUCUGUUAUCAGGGAAGAACAAACGUGUAAGUAACUGUGCACGUCUUGACGGUACCUGAUCAGAAAGCCACGGCUAACUACGUGCCAGCAGCCGCGGUAAUACGUAGGUGGCAAGCGUUAUCCGGAAUUAUUGGGCGUAAAGCGCGCGUAGGCGGUUUUUUAAGUCUGAUGUGAAAGCCCACGGCUCAACCGUGGAGGGUCAUUGGAAACUGGAAAACUUGAGUGCAGAAGAGGAAAGUGGAAUUCCAUGUGUAGCGGUGAAAUGCGCAGAGAUAUGGAGGAACACCAGUGGCGAAGGCGACUUUCUGGUCUGUAACUGACGCUGAUGUGCGAAAGCGUGGGGAUCAAACAGGAUUACAUACCCUGGUAGUCCACGCCGUAAACGAUGAGUGCUAAGUGUUAGGGGGUUUCCGCCCCUUAGUGCUGCAGCUAACGCAUUAAGCACUCCGCCUGGGGAGUACGACCGCAAGGUUGAGACUCAUAGGAAUUGACGGGGACCCGCACAAGCGGUGGAGCAUGUGGUUUAAUUCGAAGCAACGCGAAGAACCUUACCAAAUCUUGACAUCCUUUGACCG
rnacentral:rRNA from 1 species